UACAUGUGGGGCAAGCGUUGUUCGGAAUCACUGGGCAUAAAGGGUGCGUAGGCGGCUUGUUAAGUCAGGGGUGAAAUCCGGUGGCCCAACCAUCGAACUGCCUUUGAUACUGAUGAGCUUGAGUGCGUGAGGGGUAACCGGAACGAGUAGUGUAGCGGUGAAAUGCGUAGAUAUUACUCGGAAGGCCAACGGCGAAGGCAGGUUACUGGUACGCAACUGACGCUGAGGCACGAAAGCGUGGGGAGCAAACAGG
rnacentral:rRNA from 1 species